GUGAACGCUGGCGGCAGGCCUAACACAUGCAAGUCGAGCGGCAGCGCGGGUGUAGCAAUACAUCUGGCGGCGAGCGGCGGACGGGUGAGGAAUACAUCGGAAUUUACCCAAUCGUGGGGGAUAACGUAGGGAAACUUACGCUAAUACCGCAUGAACUGGAGACAGCAAAGCGGCGGACCGAAAGGCGUCGCGCGGUUGGAUGAGCCGAUGUCGGAUUAGCUAGUUGGCGGGGUAAAGGCCCACCAAGGCGACGAUCCGUAGCUGGUCUGAGAGGAUGAUCAGCCACACUGGAACUGAGACACGGUCCAGACUCCUACGGGAGGCAGCAGUGGGGAAUAUUGGACAAUGGGCGCAAGCCUGAUCCAGCCAUGCCGCGUGUGUGAAGAAGGCCUUCGGGUUGUAAAGCAC
rnacentral:rRNA from 1 species